AGCAAAGCAAGAAAGAUCGGGAGAAUGGGAAAGAAAAACAAAACGAGGGACAAGAAGAAGGUUGCUUGGGAUAGGCCCAUCUACCUGUACCUACAGGUCAAGGCAGACGACAACUCGGUGUCGUACGUGUUUAUGGUUCGUCAUUGAAGAUGGACGGCGGCCGAGGCAAAUCAGUGGAUCUGAAGAGAUUGAUGAUGAUGAUGAUGAUAAUAAGGUAAUCUUCCGUCCCCUAGAUCUUCCUGAAUUUGAUGAUGAUUACCUGCGCCUUCCUCACGGCGUUGUGGUCUUGGACUCCCGAUUAUUCAUGAUUGGUGGAUAUCAAUGUAGAAAGCGAGAUUCCUCUGGUGUGAAACCCUAUAUUGGGUAUAAUUACUUGGACCUGAAACCCUCAUAUGUAGGCCAGGAAUGGCGUUCUGUACAAGGGGUUUCAUUCCCUUCGCAAGAGUCGGUGGCCUGCAACAAAGACGGUCUCAUCUAUACCUUGGGACAGCGAUGUUGUCACCGUCUCGAUCCUCGCUCUGGUGUCCGUUCGGAGUUUCCCGCCACAUGCGGGUUUCGAACACAGCUUGGAGUAUCGAACAAGUAUAUUUACACCUAUUCCCUUGGUAUUUAUAAUCUCCUGUUUCGUUAUGAUUUGGAGAAACACGAGUGGGACUGCAUCUCUAGCAGGUUCUGGGGUCUCUGGGGCCCUGGAGUGGUGAUUUCCGGCGACUCCUACUUACCAUGCUUUGGCUCUAUGAAACCCACCGACAAAUUCUCCGAGCAGCUUGGUGUUUACGUUUUUGAUAUUGUCCGGCGUCAGUGGCUAGAUGAACCAGUCAAGGGCCUUGAUGAUGCUCUUCCCGUUAUCCCAGACACGUACGAGCCCUGGGAAAGGCACCUUUACCUCCACCAUUUACCGCGCUUGUUCCAAAUCGGAACCAAAAGAUUUGCUUUCGUUUGGGAGGAACGUUUUGUUCGGGGUCAGGGUCUUCUUCAUUGCCACAAGUUCACUAUCGACCACAUCCCCUGCAGCAGCUCCUCUCAUCGAACCAACAACCAACCCACCUCCUUUGUUGCGCGAAUAGUCUCAAGUGGAUUCCUUACUCUGCAACGCGCCGGAUUACUUGGUUGCGCUGUAGGAAUUGAAUCUUAUUCACGAGGCACAGGAACAGUGGAUCAUCUGCACCUGAGAAGCUAGUUGACCAAAAGAGUUUACAAAGCAGAUUUUAGGAACAGUGUGCUGUCUAGUUCUUUGAUUGUUUCGGAUUCAGGUGGAACGCAUUGAUCGAAACAAUCCACAGAAUAGUAGAGAGGAAGCAGCAUUUAACCGGACAGAUGUGUAUGGAAAGAACUCUAAUUCAUCUUCUGUAUUAGGCUUGAAAGCAUUGAUUGCUACCUGGGAAGAGUACCAUGCCAGUGUUGUCUUUGAGCUUUGGAUUGCUACCUUUUGAUUUUAGAAGCUUGCUGAUCAGUGUUUCAAACUGGCUGCCCAACCCUAUAUGCAUUCAGAAUUAUCAUAAUUUAAAAAAAAAUAAAAAUUUGCAAUAUCCCACAAAAUAUGGAGUAGUUUUCUGACUUUCUCAAAUAUAGGAGUGAGAAUCACCCUAUAGAGUAACUA